CUGGGGCUGAGCAAGGGGCCCAGAGCACGGCUUUCGCAACCUGCAGGAGCUUCAGGAGGAGGAAGCAGGAACGCGAGAGAUAGCAAGGAAUGGGACAUGGGUUCAAUCCCUGGUCCAGGAAGACGCCCACAUUCUGCAGAGCAGCUAAGUCCAUGCACCACAACUACUAAGCCUGCGGUCUUGAGCCUGCAUACCACAACUAUUGAAGCCUGCAUGCCCUAGUGCCUGUGCUCCACAGCAAGAGAAGCCACCACAAUGAGAAGCCCACGCAACACAACGAAGUGUAGCCCCCGCUCACUGCAACUAGAGAAAGCCCGUGCACAGCAACAAAGACCCAAUGCAGCCAAAAUAAAAAAAGAGGAGAAAACCAAGGUUCACCAUACUUCCCCAGGCUGGGACCCUCUGACCACAAACUCUGCCUGGAUCAUAAUGGCCACCAGGUCCUGCCAGAAGACAACAGCUCAUAGUGGCCAAAAGCAGCAGCCUGCAUGCAAUAGGCAUUAGAAAGGGGCCCACGUCCCUGAUAUGAAGCGUGCAGUAUAUAAAACAUUUUAUGAAACAGAAGGAAUCUGACUGCCAUCUAUGCAAGAAAUGUACUACACAUCUAUUUCCCCAGAUAGAAACGUAGACUGGUUUAAUAAAAAUUAUGUAGUUACAUAAAUAUUGAAAAAAUGAAGAAAAAGUGUAGAAUAGUGCUUAAAUUAAUUCUAAGUGGAGAAAUGGUAUAGAUAUGCAAAUAUGCACACGUUUCUCUCUGUAGAUUGGUAAAGAUAGCCAUUUGCAUAUAUAAUCGUUAGAUAAAUAUAAUGUUUAAAUGGAUACUAUAUACAUAGGAAAAUCAUUUUUUAAUAUUUCUUGAUGAAUAAGAUGUAUACAGUGAUUUGAUAAAUAUAUAAUCAGAUACUUAGUGGUUAGUUAAGUGUAGUUGUUAACGCACCUGUACACUAUGAAGACAGGUUUUUCCCACCAAAAUCUCCAUCCAGGUCAAGCCAAAGACAGUUUUGUCCAGUCCUGGCAUUCCACAGGCACUGGGCACUAAGUAUGUACCAGGUGAUCGCAAAUUACCUCCCCAGGUGGACUAUUGCAUUAACCCAGAGUUAGAGUAAAGGAAAAUGGGGCCCAACAAGGGAACAUCUGGCAUGCUAGUAACUUUAUAAACUUUUAAAUGCCAUGAGAAUUAAUGGGCUCCUCCUGAUUUUUUCUUUUUUCCUUUUUCUUCUUCUUCUUAUUUUUUUUUUUUUUUUGCUGCACCACACAGCUUACAGGAUCUUAGUUCCCCCACCAGGGACUGAACCCGCGCCCUUGGUGAAAAAGCGGAGUCCUAACCACUGGACUGCCAGGGAAUUCCCUACUCCUGAUUUUUAAAAGAAACUUCAGUUUAGAAUAAAUUUGCUGCACCCAAAAUCUACUCCGUGCUAGCAUGGGAGUGUCAUUCAGGGAGAGCUGCAGAGGGGAAGGACAAAUGAUGAAACAGUCCUUGACUGCCACCUAGUGGCUACUCGGGGUAGACUCUGCCCUGUCUCCCACAAAUGAAAACCGCUUUGGGAUUCCAUACCCUUUCUUGCCUAACUCAGAGGCCAGACCACAGAAAGGGCCCUGGGGUGGCUAAAAUGAUGAGCUAACCACUGGCUUCCUGCCUGGUGGGGCUGUGGCCUGAAGGGGGAAUCUCUGGGCCUGGCCUGGAGGGACACAGAGAAGCAAAGUCAGGAAGGCAUUGAGAGACAUGUGGAUACAGCAAAGAUACAGAAAUAAAGAUGCCAACUACUCAGAGACCUGGAGAGAUGAGAGAGAGACAGAAAGAGAGUGUCCCAGACAGACCCAGAAAGCGACACCAAGGGAUUCAGAGAUACAGACACACAGAAGGCUGAGGGCGGGUGAGAGGACCCGCCAACAGGAAGAGCCCUUUAUCCUGCUGUUCCUGUGGACUUCCAGGCAAUCCUCCAGCCCCAUCCAAACACCCCUUUCAGAAGGUCCUGGGCACUCUAAUUCCUAGUCCUUUCUGGGAUUCAUUGGUACAAAUUAGCUUAUUUCAGGGCUUUCCGCAGGACAGGCGGGGGUACUGCCUCUGUUGUGGUAGAUCCAGCUUUACAGCUUCUGAAACCUGGCUGCCAUUGUCUCUGCCCUUCUCUUUCUCCUGGUGAGUGUAGUUCCCAGUUCUCCUUCAUAUACAUAAGGCAUAUUUUCCUAUACAUAAAAACUUCUGCAGCACUUGCUUGGAGAAAACAAAACUGACUGUGGAUUUCAUCCCAACUGGCUCUGUGCUGCUGAGGCUAAUAAACAGCUGUGAAUUUGCAGGGCCCACUGAUCUUUCCUGGCUUGCUGAAGACCCCUGCCUGCCUGAUGAACAACGGGACCUGUUCUAACCCACUGUGGACAGCUCAUGGCCUCGUCUCCCCCAUGCAGCCUGCUAAAUUCACCCCUGCAUUCCAGAACCACCUCCCUGCUGGCACUUAGCAAGCUCCUGGAGAACGUGGGGUGAGUUAACAGCAGAGGUUCUUGGGAAGGUAGGAAACGUCAACUCCCAAUUUCAAUCCACGGUUCUUCUGCAUUCUCCUCUUACCCUCCCCCACCCAGUCUCACCCCCAAGGCCACAUUCAAGUUUUUUCCACAAACACUGCCACUGUCUAUGGCCUAGAGGCCUAGAUUAUGGAACCUGAUCUUCUGGAUUCUAAUUCUGAUCUCACCUCUUCCCAUCUGGCUCUCCUUGCCUCCGCUUCCCCAAAUAUAAAAUAAAAUAUUGAUAGGGUCAACUUCAUAGUGCUGUCGUGAAGAUGCAAUGAGUUAAUAUUGCAAACUGUGGCACUAAACAGAGUUAAACCAGGGACUUUGCAGGACUUCCUGGUGGUCCAGUGGCUAAGACUCUGAGCUCCCAAUUCAGGGGGCCCGGGUUCGAUCCCUGGUUAGGGAACUAGAUUCCACAUGCCGCAACUAAGAGUUCGCAUGCUGCAACUAAGACCUGGUGCAACCAAAUAAAUAAAAAUUUAAAAAAUAAUAAAAUAAAUAAAAACAAAACACCAGGGACUUUGGAGUCAGACUGGCCUUGGGGAAUCACUCCAAACUUAUGUUUCUCGUCUGUAAAUUGGGCACGAUGGCUUAGGUUGUGAGUAUCUAAGUAAAUGUUAUGAGAGUUCCAAAAGACUUCAGAUGUGAGACUUGUCCACUGUGGCUUUCCAAUGUCCUGUCCCUUCAGCUGUGCUUCCUCACCCCUCCACUACCUCACCCCUAUCUCUUCCUCUUCACCCCUCCCCAUAAGCCUGCCUGGCCUGUGCCUGCUGAUCUGCAGAACAAUGCCUCCAUUCCCAUUUCAGGAACCAGAGCUACCUUUCCCUUAAAACACCUUCCUCAAAUUAACAGUCCUUUUGCUCCCUCAGAGCCUCCUCCAACCCAGCAUGCCAGAAGAGUCUUAAUUAUGACAAUGGAGCUCUGGCUGAUUUUCUUGCACAAUAUAAAGCAAGAGAAAGUGAACAGGCAACACCCAGUUUAACAGACCCAUUGUUACUAGGAGAGGUGAAGCCUCCCUUUCUUAACGUCCUAAUGUAACCCCAGUCUGAAGUGUGUGCUUACUUUUUAAAUUGUUAUCUAUUCCAGUACUUUCAUUUACAGUUUUAUUUCUUAUUUCUUGGAUUAUAUAUAAAUGCUAUUCCUCUACAACUUUGUUUCAUUUGAUACCCUGCUAUUUACCUUAACCUGUGUGCUUAUAAGUGACUAGUUCAUUGGCUUUACUGUGGAACAAAGUUCUAACCCACGAAAAUGCUGUAAUUAUCUUUCUUUUGUCAUUGGAGAUUAACAUUGUUUCUAGGUUUUUCUAUUAAAAACAGUCCUGGUGGGGGACUUCCCUGGUGGUCCAGUGGUUAAGACCUGCACUUUCACUGCAAGGGGCACGGGUUCCAUCCUUGGCUGGGGAACUAAGAUCCCACAUGC